rnacentral:rRNA from 1 species
AAUCAACGCUGGCGGCGUGCCUAACACAUGCAAGUCGAACGCGAGAGGGGCUUCGGCCCUGAUUGAGUGGCAAACGGGUGAGUAACGCGUGGGUGACCUACCUUCGAGUGGGGGAUAACGUUCCGAAAGGGACGCUAAUACCGCAUAACAUCCUGUCUUUGGACAGAUGGAGAUCAAAGCCGGGAUCGUAAGACCUGGCGCUUGAGGAGGGGCCCGCGUCCGAUUAGCUAGUUGGUGGGGAAUGGCUCACCAAGGCAACGAUCGGUAGCCGGCCUGAGAGGGCGGACGGCCACACUGGGACUGAGACACGGCCCAGACUCCUACGGGAGGCAGCAGUGGGAAUUGUCGCAAUGGGCGCAAGCCUGACGACGCAACGCCGCGUGAAGGA